rnacentral:lncRNA from 1 species
UUGGUUUCUAACUUAAAUUCCAAGAAGUGUGCAAAUUUUGAAUUAGAAUCAUCGGUUCAAUCUUUAGUUAUUUAAUUUUCAAAUCUGUGAUUAGGGUUUGGUUUGGGUUAGGAUUUGAUUAGGGUUUAGGAUUAGGGUUUCGUUAGGAUUUGGUUGAGAAUUAGGAUUUGGUUAGGAUUUGGUUUAGGAUUUAGGAUUUAUUAGGAUUAGGGUAUGAUUUAGGAUUUGGUUUAGGAUUUGGUUUAAGGUUUAGGAUUUAGGAUUUGGUUUAGGAUUUGAUUUAGAGUUUAGGGUUUGGAUUAGGGUUAGGUUUAGUUAGGAUUUGGUUUAGGAUUUAGGAUUUAUUAGGAUUAGGAUAUGGUUUAGGAUUUGAUUUAGGAUUUAGGAUUUAGGGUUUAAGGUUUGGUUUAGGAUUUGAAUUAGGAUUUGGAUUAGGAUUUAGGGUCUGGUUUAGGAUUUGGUUAGGGGUUGGUUUAAUAUUUAGGGUUUGAUUAAGGUUUGAUUAGGAUUUGGUUUAGGGUUUAAGAAUUGUCUAGGGUUUAAUUAAGGUUGGAUUAAGAUUAGGGAUUGGUUAGAAUUUAAGGUUUUAUUAGAUUUUUGUUAGGAUUUGACUAAGUUUUCUUUAAUAUUCUUUUAUAUUUCCUUAGGUUUUCUUUAUGUUUCUUUUAUAACUUCAAUAAAAUUUAAUUGAGCUUACUUAAUGUUUGAUUAUGAUUGU